UUGAUCCUGGCUCAGGAUGAACGCUAGCGGCAGGCUUAACACAUGCAAGUCGAGGGGUAUAGUUCUUCGGAAUUAGAGACCGGCGCACGGGUGCGUAACGCGUAUGCAAUCUACCUUUUACAGAGGGAUAGCCCAGAGAAAUUUGGAUUAAUACCUCAUAGUAUAAUGACUUGGCAUCAAGACAUUAUUAAAGUCACAACGGUAAAAGAUGAGCAUGCGUCCCAUUAGCUAGUUGGUAAGGUAACGGCUUACCAAGGCUACGAUGGGUAGGGGUCCUGAGAGGGAGAUCCCCCACACUGGUACUGAGACACGGACCAGACUCCUACGGGAGGCAGCAGUGAGGAAUAUUGGACAAUGGGCGCAAGCCUGAUCCAGCCAUGCCGCGUGCAGGAUGACGGUCCUAUGGAUUGUAAACUGCUUUUAUACGAGAAGAAACACUACUUCGUGAAGUAGCUUGACGGUAUCGUAAGAAUAA
rnacentral:rRNA from 1 species